rnacentral:lncRNA from 1 species
UUAACCAAAAGCCUAAAACAAUAUAAUUUACAGUGAAAUAAUCAAAACAUCUCUGAUUAUUUCAAAGCAUUGAAGACAAAGCCAGACAGGAUUUCAGGUCAUCCUGACCCUUAGAAACAGAAUUGAAGAGAGGAGGGAGCACCAUGCAAUUGUCACACCAUUACUCCUAGCCCCAGAGAUGCAAUGAUAAAGAAGUUCAGAGAUGCAAAAGAGACGGCUGGAAAGGCCAUCACAGCACACUGUUUGAUUUCUCCCAGCGUUUUGAAAUCUUAGUGUCUUCAAGGAGUCUUACAAUACAAGGUGUACCACUGAAGACUUAACUGAUUAACAGAAUGACCUGCUGAAGACUUAAGUGGUGCUUUGUUACUGCCACUGCAGCAAGAGGAUGCCAUGAAGUUUUCUAUUCUGUUCUUCAGAGAUGGAAUCUUCUGAGAUGGAGAAUACCCCCUAGCAUGGCGUAUCUUCGGUGGGUCUUUGGAUGAUAUAUGAAAUAAAAGCAUGGGCACC